AGGUUAGCACUCCCCUUGAUAAGCAUGGAAGAGGUCCUAGCAGCCUUUACAAGACAUACAUGGUUAAGGCAUUUCCAUUUACUCAAACUCUCCUUGAUUCUUA
ensembl:snRNA